GACGAACGCUGGCGGCGUGCUUAACACAUGCAAGUCGAACGGAAAGGCCCUGCUUUUGUGGGGUGCUCGAGUGGCGAACGGGUGAGUAACACGUGAGUAACCUGUCCUUGACUUUGGGAUAACUUCAGGAAACUGGGGCUAAUACCGGAUAGGAGCUCCUGCUGCAUGGUGGGGGUUGGAAAGUUUCGGCGGUUGGGGAUGGACUCGCGGCUUAUCAGCUUGUUGGUGGGGUAGUGGCUUGCCAAGGCUUUGACGGGUAGCCGGCCUGAGAGGGUGACCGGCCACAUUGGGACUGAGAUACGGCCCAGACUCCUACGGGAGGCAGCAGUGGGGAAUAUUGCACAAUGGGCGGAAGCCUGAUGCAGCAACGCCGCGUGCGGGAUGACGGCCUUCGGGUUGUAAACCGCUUUCGCCUGUGACGAAGCGUGAGUGACGGUAAUGGGUAAAGAAGCACCGGCUAACUACGUG
rnacentral:rRNA from 1 species